rnacentral:misc_RNA from 1 species
UACGAAGGGGGCUAGCGUUGUUCGGAAUUACUGGGCGUAAAGCGCACGUAGGCGGGUUUGUAAGUAGGGGGUGAAAUCCCGGGGCUCAACCUCGGAAUUGCCUUCUAAACUGCAAGCCUGGAGGUCAGGAGAGGCGAGUGGAAUACCGAGUGUAGAGGUGAAAUUCGUAGAUAUUCGGUGGAACACCAGUGGCGAAGGCGACUCGCUGGACUGAUACUGACGCUGAGGUGCGAAAGCGUGGGGAGCAAACAGG